AAAGAUAUAUAAAAUCUAGUAAAUCUAUUCCUCUCUCUCUCUCUCUCUCUCUCUCUCUCUCUCUCUCUCUCUCUCUUAGUCGAUCAGUUAAAGUCAACUUUUUCGAUAUAAAAAUAAUAAUUCUAUCAUAUUUAUUUUCAAUUUUAAUAUUUCUAUUCGAUUUUUUAUUAUAUUUUUUGCGAAUCUCAAAUUGACAAUAAAUUUAUAUUUCUCUUUUUUUUUUUUGUUUU
rnacentral:lncRNA from 1 species